rnacentral:rRNA from 1 species
CCUACGGGUGGCUGCAGUGGGGAAUAUUGCGCAAUGGGCGCAAGCCUGAUGCAGCCAUGCCGCGUGUGUGAAGAAGGCCUUCGGGUUGUAAAGCACUUUCAGCGGGGAGGAAGGCGGUGAGGUUAAUAACCUCAUCGAUUGACGUUACCCGCAGAAGAAGCACCGGCUAACUCCGUGCCAGCAGCCGCGGUAAUACGGAGGGUGCAAGCGUUAAUCGGAAUUACUGGGCGUAAAGCGCACGCAGGCGGUCUGUCAAGUCGGAUGUGAAAUCCCCGGGCUCAACCUGGGAACUGCAUUCGAAACUGGCAGGCUAGAGUCUUGUAGAGGGGGGUAGAAUUCCAGGUGUAGCGGUGAAAUGCGUAGAGAUCUGGAGGAAUACCGGUGGCGAAGGCGGCCCCCUGGACAAAGACUGACGCUCAGGUGCGAAAGCGUGGGGAGCAAACAGGAUUAGAUACCCGAGUAGUC